AGGGCCAACUAUACUCAGGCUGUCUACAGGAGGCCACUGUCACAAAUAAGCUUUCAAGCUAUUUAGACGUAAGUGUUAAAGUUUAGGACUGAUCUUUAUGACUAUGAGCUUACGCAUUUCUUAAUACGACGGUGAUCAUAAACUCUACAGCACACAAAUAAUAUAUAAAAUGAAAAGUAACCAACUAUCUGCUAAUGAACCACUACAAACAUAGUUUCAUCACCAACCAAACACCCAAAUCGUAAAUCAGAAUAGCAACUCCUUCUGCAGCACAAUAAAGAUUCGAAUUUCACUUGCUGUGAGAAUAUACUUAUUUAAACCUCUAAUGUUGCACAACUCAAAAUCCAUUGAUUUUAAAGACAACAAAAAAUCAAAUUAAAUUGAAAAAGGGACAGAAAGUAGAAUGCUUGACUUGAUAACUUCAAAAAUAUUCAAGCAGUCAGAAAUGCAGAAUAUAAAAUUAAUCGUUCAUAAGCCAAAACAAUAAUGCUUACUAAUUUCAUAAAUGGAGGAUUGCAUUCCACUGCUAAAAUACCUCUCUACCCUAAACAAUAAUAGCCCAAUGAAAAUUAUUGCAAUCACUCUCCAAAUUCCUUUUGCCAGGAAAAAUAAUGUUUGAAGUACUCUUCAGAUAUUCUCCAAUCAAGGCGGGGCUCAACGACAAAGACAUCACCUUGUGCAAUCCUCGCAUAGCUAUAAAUAAUUCCCAACUCUAGCUAACAAACCUCAAUCUCUUUUCAUUGGUUACACAAUUUCAAUCAAUUCAAACCCUAAAAUUUUGCACCUAACAGAUAUACAUCAAAAUAAAGAAAAAAAAUUUCAACUUUGCAACACAAAUAAAGACAGAAAAACCACAAAUCUCAUAAAAUUAGAAAUUCCGAAAGAAAGUACCUGUUUGAUGAAGUGAAAAGAUGAUCUAGACCGGUAAUUCGUGGGUUUUUAAUUAUUGAUCGCGAAUAUAACUGGGCUGGUUAGGGAUUGAAAGAAGAGAAUGCUCUGACCUUAUCAUUUUACCGUCUCCGUGGAGGGUAGGGAUAGAAGAAAGAGAAUGCGUGCGGGCUCAGUAAAGCCAGCGGAGGUUACUUUGAUAUCGUGAAAUUUGCAGUCUUGCCCUUUACGUUUCGGAAAUUUUAUGUUUGCCCCUAGUCCGUAGACCUGGCUACCGGUUUGGGCGGAGCCCCUGGUUCAGGGUUGAGAAAAGGAAUGAACUGGAAUCGGAUUGGAUGUCCCAAGUGAUUACAAUCAGUUCUGGUUC
rnacentral:misc_RNA from 1 species